rnacentral:rRNA from 1 species
GUAGGGAAUAUUGGACAAUGGAGGCAACUCUGAUCCAGCCAUCCCGCGUGAAGGAUUAAGGUCCUAUGGAUUGUAAACUUCUUUUCUCUGGGAAUAAAAAGUGGGAUUCAUCCUGCCUUGAAGGUACCAGAGGAAUAAGCACCGGCUAACUCCGUGCCAGCAGCCGCGGUAAUACGGAGGGUGCAAGCGUUAUCCGGAUUCACUGGGUUUAAAGGGAGCGUAGGUGGCUUUGUAAGUCAGUGGUGAAAUGCCGCAGCUUAACUGCGGAACUGCCAUUGAUACUGCAUAGCUUGAAUCAGGUCGAGGUGGAUGGAAUAUUACAUGUAGCGGUGAAAUGCUUAGAUAUGUAAUAGAACACCGAUUGCGAAGGCAGUUCACUAGGCCUGUAUUGACACUGAGGCUCGAAAGCGUGGGGAUCAAACAGGAUUAGAAACCCCUGUAGUCC